rnacentral:rRNA from 1 species
AUUGAACGCUGGCGGCAUGCUUUACACAUGCAAGUCGAACGGUAACAGGGAGCUUGCUCCGCUGACGAGUGGCGAACGGGUGAGUAAUGCGUCGGAACGUGCCGAGUAGUGGGGGAUAACGCAUCGAAAGGUGUGCUAAUACCGCAUACGUACUGAGGUAGAAAGUGGGGGACCUUCGGGCCUCACGCUAUUCGAGCGGCCGACGUCUGAUUAGCUAGUUGGUGAGGUAAAGGCUCACCAAGGCGACGAUCAGUAGCGGGUCUGAGAGGAUGAUCCGCCACACUGGGACUGAGACACGGCCCAGACUCCUACGGGAGGCAGCAGUGGGGAAUUUUGGACAAUGGGCGCAAGCCUGAUCCAGCCAUGCCGCGUGUCUGAAGAAGGCCUUCGGGUUGUAAAGGACUUUUGUCCGGGAGCAAAUGCCUGGUGUUAAUAGCAUCGGGAGCUGAGAGUACCGGAAGAAUAAGCACCGGCUAACUACGUGCCAGCAGCCGCAGUAAAAC